rfam:Ornithorhynchus anatinus chromosome 3, whole genome shotgun sequence.
CCCCUCUCAGGGCCGCACCUGGAGAGUUUCCAACACUCUACCAGGCUCGGCUACAGGAGGGAGAGUCAAGCAGAGAGAGGCCUGUCCACUCCAUUCCUAGCUUGGCCAGUGGCUAGCGAGUGAAAGACAAUCUGCAGCAGCA